GGCCCCAGAGUGCGUCCCAGGCAGGCGGGACCUGGAACCCGGCCUCUGGAGAGAAGCUCACCCUGUCUCUGCCACUAAGAGGGACUGCCUGUGCCAACCCUGCCAGGGUUACUUGAUGGUCCACAGUGUCCCCACCCCUCCCGGGGAGAGGGAAGGAGUUGUGAUCACAGCCUCUUGCUUGCCUCCCAGGGGCCGUGAGGCGGGAUUGUACCAUCACGGGGUGGUCUGAGCCCUUCCCGCCUUACCCUGUGGCCUGCCCUGUGCCCCUGGAGCUGCUGGCUGAGGAGAAAUCUUACUUCUCCACAGUGAAGAUCAUCUACACCAUGGGCCACAGCAUCUCUACCGUAGCCCUCUUGGUGGCCAUCGCCAUCCUGCUUGCUCUCAGGAGGCUGCACUGCCCCCGGAACUACAUCCACACCCAGCUGUUCGCCACCUUCAUCCUCAAGGCAGCAGCCGUGUUCCUGAAGGACGCCACCCUCUUCCACGGCGGCAGCGCGGACCACUGCAACCUCUCCACUGUUCUGUGCAAGGUCUCCGUGGCAGCCUCCCAUUUCGCCACCAUGACCAACUUCAGCUGGCUGCUGGCAGAAGCCGUCUACCUGACCUGCCUCCUGGCCUCUACCUCCCCCAGCUCAAGGAGCGCCUUCUGGUGGCUGGUUCUUGCUGCCUGGGGGCUGCCCAUGCUGCUCGCCGGCACGUGGGUGGGCUGCAAGCUGGCCUUCGAGGACAUCGCGUGCUGGGACCUGGACGACAGCUCCCCCUACUGGUGGAUCAUCAAAGGGCCCAUCGUGCUCUCCGUUGCGGUGAACUUUGGGCUUUUUCUCAAUAUCAUCCGCAUCCUGCUGAGGAAACUGGAACCAGCUCAGGGCAGCCUCCACACCCAGUCUCAGUACUGGCGUCUCUCCAAGUCAACGCUUCUCCUCAUCCCACUGUUUGGAGUUCACUACAUCAUCUUCAACUUCCUGCCCGACGAUGCUGGCCUGGGCAUCCGCCUCCCCCUGGAGCUGGGACUGGGCUCCUUCCAGGGCUUCAUCGUUGCCAUCCUCUACUGCUUCCUCAACCAAGAGGUGUGUGACUCUCCAGGCUACCCCUUAUUUAUUGAGCCCACCUUCCAGCUCGGGCCACACUUUGACUGCUGUGAUCCUUUGUGGUGGUUUGUCUUGAGCUUCUGGAUCAAGCUGAACCUGAAUGCUUCCUGUAAACAUCUUUUCUCCAUCCUGCAUCUGAGCUGGGCCAAGUUCAACCAUCCACUCACCAGGAGGUGGAGCAGACCUUUCGGGGAUCAGGAGAGGGAUCAAGGCGGGGAGUCUAAAGGGACCCCCCCCAUUCUGUGUCCCUAAACUUGAACAUAAGGAAGAGUGGGGGAGGGCGUAUGUCAGUUGGGAGAGAGACAGUCAGAGGGAACAGAGACAGGAACCGAGAAAGUCAUAGGUAGACAUGCAGGGACCUAGGCAAAUAGAGUCAGACGCAGAGACCGGGAGAAAUACCCAGGGCAGAGCCGGGGAAACGGAAAGCACCGGGAUGAAAGACACACAAAGAGAACAGACAUGAACAGACAGAGCAGACGGUGCCGCCACACCUGCAGAGACAUGGUGAGGACUGAGAUCUCGCGGAAGUGGCAUGGCCAUGACCCGGAGCUUCUGCCAGCCCGGAGGACCCCAGC